UACGAAGGGGGCUAGCGUUGCUCGGAAUGACUGGGCGUAAAGGGCGCGUAGGCGGCUCAUGCAGUCAGAUGUGAAAUUCCUGGGCUUAACCUGGGGGCUGCAUUUGAUACGUGUGGGCUUGAGUGGGGAAGAGGGUCGUGGAAUUCCCAGUGUAGAGGUGAAAUUCGUAGAUAUUGGGAAGAACACCGGUGGCGAAGGCGGCGACCUGGUCCUUGACUGACGCUGAGGCGCGAAAGCGUGGGGAGCAAACAGG
rnacentral:rRNA from 1 species